AGUUAACUCUGGCGGUAGGCCUAACACAUGCAAGUCGAACGGCAGCACAGUAAGAGCUUGCUCUUACGGGUGGCGAGUGGCGGACGGGUGAGGAAUACAUCGGAAUCUACUUUUUCGUGGGGGAUAACGUAGGGAAACUUACGCUAAUACCGCAUACGACCUACGGGUGAAAGCAGGGGAUCUUCGGACCUUGCGCGAUUGAAUGAGCCGAUGUCGGAUUAGCUAGUUGGCGGGGUAAAGGCCCACCAAGGCGACGAUCCGUAGCUGGUCUGAGAGGAUGAUCAGCCACACUGGAACUGAGACACGGUCCAGACUCCUACGGGAGGCAGCAGUGGGGAAUAUUGGACAAUGGGCGCAAGCCUGAUCCAGCCAUACCGCGUGGGUGAAGAAGGCCUUCGGGUUGUAAAGCCCUUUUGUUGGGAAAGAAAAGCAGCAGGUUAAUACCCCGCUGUUCUGACGGUACCCAAAGAAUAAGCACCGGCUAACUUCGUG
rnacentral:rRNA from 1 species